CCGGGGUCGGCCCGGUGGUGCACACGUUCGGCUUCAGCGGCCCGGGGUUCGCCGGUUUGGAUCCCAGGUGCAGACAUGGCACCGCUUGGCAAGCCAUGCUGUGGUGGCCCACAUUUCCUCCCCAUCUAAAUAAAGGGAUUUACAAGGACUUCCUCGGGGAGGCUGUCAGCAUCCAGAAAAGCUGAGCUGAGGGCUUGUGACAACUGCCCCAACAUGCUGUUAUACAGGCUGUGGACAGUACACCAUGUCUCCCCGGUAACAUUCAGAGGAUGGAACGAUGGCUCUAGAACUGGAUUCUGAUCUUGGACAAAGUAUACUGCUCUGGACCUCAGAAGUCAUUCUGCUUCUACAAGUCCAACUUGUCAAAGUCCUUCUCUGAGAAACCGUCCAGACUUCCCCGGUCAGAAUCAACGUCUCCUUCCUCUUGUGGACACCCCUAACACUUUGUUUCUUCCUCCCGUGCAGCAAUUACACAGUGUGCCUUGUGGUCUAGAUGGUUUCAGUGCUAGGCAUUGUGGAAGCAGUGUGGCCCCGGGCCUCAGCCUGUGCACAUGGAGCCAGCCUUGGCCACUCUUUCCCGUACUGCUGCUCUCGGAUGACGAAGGUUUGGCUAAAGAAUCUGCCGG
rnacentral:lncRNA from 1 species